rnacentral:rRNA from 1 species
ACGGGUGAGUAACACGUAGGUCACGUACCUCUGGAAUGGGGAUAGCCCGGGGAAACUCGGAUUAAUACCCAAUAUGCCGAAAGGUGAAAGGAGCAAUCCGUCCGGAGAUCGGCCUGCGGCCCAUUAUUUAAUCCUUGUUGGUGAGGUAACGGCUCACCAAGGGUACGAUGGGUAGCUGGUCUGAGAGGAUGAUCAGCCACACUGGGACUGAGACACGGCCCAGACUCC